UAGGGAAUAUUCGUCAUGGGCGAAAGCCUGAACUAGCAACACCGCGUGUGCGAAGAAGGCCUUCGGGUUGUAAAGCCCUUUUUGAGAGGAUGAGGAAGGACGGUACUCUCAGAAUAAGUCUCGGCUAACUACGUGCCAGCAGCCGCGGUAACACGUAGGAGGCAAACGUUAUCCGGAUUUACUGGGCGUAAAGCGCGUGUAGGUGGUUUGGUAAGUAGAGUGUGAAAGCUCCUGGCUCAACUGGGAGAGGUCGUUCUAAACUGCCGGACUAGAGGAUGGUAGAGGGAGGUGGAAUUCCGGGUGUAGCGGUGGAAUGCGCAGAUAUCCGGAGGAACACCAGUGGCGAAAGCGGCGUCCUGGACCACUCCUGACACUCAGACGCGAAAGCUAGGGUAGCAAACG
rnacentral:rRNA from 1 species